GACAGAGGCCUCAAGCGUUAGGCGGAAUCACUGGGCUUAAAGAGUGUGUAGGCGGAUCGUUAAGUGUCUUGUGAAAUCCCACGGCUCACCCGUGGAACUGCUGGGCAUACUGGCGAUCUUGGGCCAACUAGGGGCAACUGGAACAAGCGGUGGAGCGGUGAAAUGCGUAGAUAUCGCUUGGAACGCCAAAGGUGAAAACAGGUUGCUGGGGUUGUGACGACGCUGAGACACGAAAGCCAGGGGAGCAAACGGG
rnacentral:rRNA from 1 species